AUUCAACAUCAGGAGCGGUUUCAAAACUGUAACCCGCCAACCGACCCAAAUGGGCACGGUGGUUAGAUCCUUAAGCGGUAGAUGUGCCUUUGAUUAGGAAAUCUUAAAAGCUGCCU
rnacentral:ncRNA from 1 species